rnacentral:rRNA from 1 species
AUUGAACGCUGGCGGCAUGCUUUACACAUGCAAGUCGAACGGUAACAGGCCGCAAGGUGCUGACGAGUGGCGAACGGGUGAGUAAUGCAUCGGAACGUGCCCAGUCGUGGGGGAUAACGCAGCGAAAGCUGUGCUAAUACCGCAUACGAUCUAUGGAUGAAAGCGGGGGACCGUAAGGCCUCGCGCGAUUGGAGCGGCCGAUGUCAGAUUAGGUAGUUGGUGGGGUAAAGGCCUACCAAGCCGACGAUCUGUAGCUGGUCUGAGAGGACGACCGGCCACACUGGGACUGAGACACGGCCCAGACUCCUACGGGAGGCAGCAGUGGGGAAUUUUGGACAAUGGGCGCAAGCCUGAUCCAGCAAUGCCGCGUGCAGGAAGAAGGCCUUCGGGUUGCAAACUGCUUUUGUACGGAACGAAACGGUCUGGGUUAAUACCCUGGGCUAAUGACGGUACCGUAAGAAUAAGCACCGGCUAACUUCGUGCCAGCCGCCGCCGUAAUAC